CAGUCGCCGCGGUAAUACGUAGGUGGCAAGCGUUGUCCGGAAUUAUUGGGCGUAAAGGGCUCGCAGGCGGUUUCUUAAGUCUGAUGUGAAAGCCCCCGGCUCAACCGGGGAGGGUCAUUGGAAACUGGGAAACUUGAGUGCAGAAGAGGAGAGUGGAAUUCCACGUGUAGCGGAGAAAUGCGUAGAGAUGUGGAGGAACACCAGUGGCGAAGGCGACUCUCUGGUCUGUAACUGACGCUGAGGAGCGAAAGCGUGGGGAGCGAACAGGAUUAGAUACCCCUGUAGUCCCUGUCUCUUAUAC
rnacentral:rRNA from 1 species